CUCAGAACACAGCCCAGAGUGCCGACUCUGAGCCGCUAUCGGCCCAACUUGACUGGAAACCUGUGAUGCACGUACCAGCGGGAAUACUGAUAUCUGUAAAUGUGAAUAGCAACACAGUGUUUGUAGUUUUAAUGGACUACAAAGACCAUCAGCACAGACUGGAUGUCCACUAUGGUGAUUGUGGGGAGAUUUUCCUUUAAAGAGUCUGGAGGAAGACAUGACCAUGUUGGUGCAGAGAGGUGAAGAAGGACAGAGAGAGAGAGAGAGAGAGAGAGAGAGAGAGAGAGCACAGCGAGCAUUCACUCAUUCUUUCGCCUCCUCAGUUAAAGGGGCAGUUUUUGUUUUUCUCUCAGGAUGUCUGAAGGUGAAUCAGCAGGAAUCAAACUUGCGUCGGUGGACUUUGAGAUCUUCGGUCACGUUCAGGGAGUCUGUUUCAGAAUGCAACCCUUUCUUAUGCACCCCUUAAAACUAAGAAGUCCUGAAGUUUGGGCAACCCCCAGGUUGGGAACCACUGAUUUAAAGGACCAGUGUGUAGGAGGAUUUAGUGGCCUCUAGUGGUGAGAUUGCAUAUUGCAACCAACUGAAACCCCUUGACUCAACCAGGCGUGUAGGAGAAGCUACAGUGGCCACCAAAAACAAUUCUUACUUUGAGGUGAUUAUACAUAAAAAAUGUAUGAAUAUUGUAUUUCAUUUCUGCCAAUAGAUCCUCCUAAAUGUUAAACACUUGACCUUUAUGUAAAAGUACUUGAGUAAAUGUACUCUGACAAAAAUGAAACGUGGGCUUGAGUAAAUGUACUCUGACAAAAAUGAAACGUGGGCUUGGUUAUUGAUUUUCACAUUUAUGCUGGAUCCAGAGUACUGCCGGGGGCCGACACAGUUCAGCACCAAUGCCUUCACUGAGAUU
rnacentral:lncRNA from 1 species